GCAUCCAGUGCAAUUCCUAGGGUAUUGCACGGGGUGCAAUAGUUCUAAUCUCAGCCUUUGAUUUAAUCUAACGGUUGUAAAUAAUUGCCACGUCAUCGAUCCGUGUCUCACAUGGUGUUGGGCUAUCUUUCUUCACCUCUCCCCUUUCUAUUGUCUUCAGAUUCACCAAAUCCAAAUUUCAAAACUUUUCUCUCUUCCACCAAGUUGAAUCUCCAUAACCAUGGCUACAACUGGAAGCCUCCGAGGCCCACCGACCACCACCGGCGGUGCUUGCCGGUCUGACCUUGUCGUCUCUUAAGGUCCCUCUCUUUUCUCGUUCUCUCAAGUCCAGCCGUGGCCAAGCUUCUGCUUGCCCAACACCACCAUCUCUAGUGGCGGUGCUUCUCAGCGGCGUCACCAACGCUGGUGGCCGUCGGUCUUGAGGGAGAUUCAUCAUAGUGAUGUUAUUGCCACUGAACCAGGUCUUCUCUGAAGCUGCCAGAAUCUUGCAAGACUUCCUUGAGGCUCAUGAUGAUGCACCAGUCCUAGUCCGGAAUCCAGUCCAGCCUAAAUGGUUUGCCCCAGCACAGCCACGGUACAAAGCCAACUUCGACAGAG